UACGGAGGAUGCAAGCGUUAUCCGGAUUCAUUGGGUCUAAAGGGUGCGUAGGCGGCUUUUUAAGUCAGCGGUGAAAUUUUGCAGCUUAACUGUAACAGUGCCGUUGAUACUGGGGAGCUAGGAUUUGGUUGCUGUGGGUGGAAUGUGUGGUGUAGCGGUGAAAUGCUUAGAGAUCACACAGAAUAUCGAUUGCGAAGGCAGCUCACAAAGCCAAGAUUGACGCUGAGGCACGAAAGUGUGGGGAUCAAACA
rnacentral:rRNA from 1 species